rnacentral:rRNA from 1 species
CCUACGGGAGGCAGCAGUGGGGAAUUUUGGACAAUGGGCGAAAGCCUGAUCCAGCAAUGCCGCGUGAGUGAAGAAGGCCUUCGGGUUGUAAAGCUCUUUUGUCAGGGAAGAAACGGUGGGAGCUAAUAUCUCUUGCUAAUGACGGUACCUGAAGAAUAAGCACCGGCUAACUACGUGCCAGCAGCCGCGGUAAUACGUAGGGUGCAAGCGUUAAUCGGAAUUACUGGGCGUAAAGCGUGCGCAGGCGGUUUUGUAAGUCUGAUGUGAAAUCCCCGGGCUCAACCUGGGAAUUGCAUUGGAGACUGCAAGGCUAGAAUCUGGCAGAGGGGGGUAGAAUUCCACGUGUAGCAGUGAAAUGCGUAGAUAUGUGGAGGAACACCGAUGGCGAAGGCAGCCCCCUGGGUCAAGAUUGACGCUCAUGCACGAAAGCGUGGGGAGCAAACAGGAUUAGAUACCCUGGUAGUCCACGCCCUAAACGAUGUCUACUAGUUGUCGGGUCUUAAUUGACUUGGUAACGCAGCUAACGCGUGAAGUAGACCGCCUGGGGAGUACGGUCGCAAGAUUAAAACCGUCAAAGGAAUUGACCGGCNGAGAGAGCGAGGACGACGACGAGGGAGGAGG